rnacentral:misc_RNA from 1 species
GGAACGUAACAAGGUUUCCGUAGGUGAACCUGCGGAAGGAUCAUUAUUGUAUAACCGAGGUGCGAGGGCUGUCGCUGACCCGAAAGGUCGUGCACGCCCGAGUGCCCUCACACACAUCCAUCUCACCCCUAUGUGCACCACCGCGUGGGUCCCCCUUUGGCUUGUUCGGAGGGGGGCUUACGUUUUCACACAAACUUUGUAUGCAGUGUAGAAUGUAUUUUUUGUUUUUGCGAUCACGCAAUCAAUACAACUUUCAACAACGGAUCUCUUGGCUCUC